AGUAUCAGGUGAUGAGACCUUGAAACAAUCUUAGGACACCUUCUGACACAGUGCUUUUAUCCUGUGAAUGAGAAGUAAUUUAUUUUCUGAUGAUACA
rnacentral:snoRNA from 1 species